rnacentral:rRNA from 1 species
GACGAACGCUGGCGGCGUGCUUAACACAUGCAAGUCGAACGGUAAGGCCCUUCGGGGUACACGAGUGGCGAACGGGUGAGUAACACGUGGGUGAUCUGCCCUGCACUUCGGGAUAAGCCUGGGAAACUGGGUCUAAUACCGGAUAGGACCACUGCCUGCAUGGGUGGUGGUGGAAAGCUUUUGCGGUGUGGGAUGGGCCCGCGGCCUAUCAGCUUGUUGGUGGGGUGAUGGCCUACCAAGGCGACGACGGGUAGCCGGCCUGAGAGGGUGACCGGCCACACUGGGACUGAGAUACGGCCCAGACUCCUACGGGAGGCAGCAGUGGGGAAUAUUGCACAAUGGGCGAAAGCCUGACGGAGCGACACCGCGUGAAGGAUGAAGCCGGUUUCCGGUGUAAACUUCUGUUCUGAGGGACGAAAUUUUUGACGGUACCUCAGGAGAAAGCAUCGGCUAAUUCUGUGCCAGCCGCCGCGGUAA